GGCUCAGGAUGAACGCUAGCUACAGGCUUAACACAUGCAAGUCGAGGGGCAGCGCAGUGUAGCAAUACAUGGGCGGCGACCGGCGCACGGGUGCGUAACGCGUAUCCAACCUUCCCGUUACUCAGGGAUAGCCUUCCGAAAGGGAGAUUAAUACCUGAUGGUGUUCAAAUUCCGCAUGUUAUUUGAACUAAAGAUUUAUCGGUAACGGAUGGGGAUGCGUUUCAUUAGGUAGUAGGCGGGGUAACGGCCCACCUAGCCGACGAUGAAUAGGGGUUCUGAGAGGAAGGUCCCCCACACUGGAACUGAGACACGGUCCAGACUCCUACGGGAGGCAGCAGUGAGGAAUAUUGGUCAAUGGGCGCAAGCCUGAACCAGCCAUGCCGCGUGCAGGAAGAAUGUCUUAUGGAUUGUAAACUGCUUUUGUAUGGGAAUAAUAAUAGCUUUGCGAAGUUAGAUGCAUGUACCAUACGAAUAAGGAUCGGCUAACUCCGUG
rnacentral:rRNA from 1 species